AAAAUCUUGUUGUAUGAUCAUCAGGGUGUAUCUGAGUCUUCUCUCAUCAAUGAAGCUUUGCUUUGUUUGCUCAAACCCUCAGUGUAUUUCAGCAAGAUUUUGAAUGCGUCUUUGAACAAAGAUGCGGACAAGGGUACCAAGAAAUGGUUGACAAGAGUUUCGUUACGAGAGCAGAUCAUGGUGACAUGAAGGAGAUAGCAGAAGAGUAUAACCAGCUCUAUGGAGAGCCUUUGGCCCAAACAAUUCAAGAGAAGAUUAAAGGGAACUACAGAGAUUUCUUGCUCACACUACUAUCUAAAUCAAAUUGAUUUCGGUUCUGAACUUAUUCCCAGGACUUGUGGCUAUUGAACAUGUGAAUUUCUUUCGGUUUUAUGUUUCUAUCCCAACAUUUGCGUUUUCUAUACCCUUUUAUCAUAAUAUUUAAUAAUAAAGUCACUGUCUCUGGUGACAUUAUUCAAGAAGAGAAGAGUGUGUCAUGUUAAACUCUGUUUUCAUGUUUUAUGCUAGAAUGACAUAGUUACUUGAAUCAUAUUUAACUAAA